rnacentral:rRNA from 1 species
CCCCGGCGAGGGGAGUGAAAAAGAACCUGAAACCGUGUACGUACAAGCAGUGGGAGCACAGGUUUACCUGUGUGACUGCGUACCUUUUGUAUAAUGGGUCAGCGACUUAUAUUCUGUAGCAAGGUUAACCGUAUAGGGGAGCCGGAGGGAAACCGAGUCUUAAUUGGGCGUUAAGUUGCAGGGUAUAGACCCGAAACCCGGUGAUCUAGCCAUGGGCAGGUUGAAGGUUGGGUAACACUAACUGGAGGACCGAACCGACUAAUGUUGAAAAAUUAGCGGAUGACCUGUGGCUGGGGGUGAAAGGCCAAUCAAACCGGGAGAUAGCUGGUUCUCCCCGAAAGCUAUUUAGGUAGCGCCUCGUGAAUUCAUCUCCGGGGGUAGAGCACUGUUUCGGCUAGGGGGCCAUCCCGGCUUACCAACCCGAUGCAAACUGCGAAUACCGGAGAAUGUUAUCACGGGAGACACACGGCGGGUGCUAACGUCCGUCGUGAAGAGGGAAACAACCCAGACCGCCAGCUAAGGUCCCAAAGUCAUGGUUAAGUGGGAAACGAUGUGGGAAGGCCCAGACAGCCAGGAUGUUGGCUUAGAAGCAGCCAUCAUUUAAAGAAAGCGUAAUAGCUCACUGGUCGAGUCGGCCUGCGCGGAAGAUGUAACGGGGCUAAACCAUGCACCGAAGCUGCGGCAGCGA